rnacentral:SRP_RNA from 1 species
GCUGGGCGUGGUGACCCACGCCUAUAGUCCCAGCUACUCGGGAGGCUGAGAUGGGAGGAUCGCUUGAACCCAGGAGGUUGAGGCUGCAGUGAGCUGUGACUGCACCACGGCGCUCCAGCCUGGGUGACAGAGUGAGAACCUGUCUCAA